GACGAACGCUGGCGGCGUGCUUAACACAUGCAAGUCGAACGGAAAGGCCCUGCUUUUGUGGGGUGCUCGAGUGGCGAACGGGUAAGUAACACGUGAGUAACCUGCCCUUGACUUUGGGAUAACUUCAGGAAACUGGGGCUAAUACCGGAUAGGAGCUCCUGCUGCAUGGUGGGGGUUGGAAAGUUUCGGCGGUUGGGGAUGGACUCGCGGCUUAUCAGCUUGUUGGUGGGGUAGUGGCUUACCAAGGCUUUGACGGGUAGCCGGCCUGAGAGGGUGACCGGCCACAUUGGGACUGAGAUACGGCCCAGACUCCUACGGGAGGCAGCAGUGGGGAAUAUUGCACAAUGGGCGGAAGCCUGAUGCAGCAACGCCGCGUGCGGGAUGACGGCCUUCGGGUUGUAAACCGCUUUCGCCUGUGACGAAGCGUGAGUGACGGUAAUGGGUAAAGAAGCACCGGCUAACUACGU
rnacentral:rRNA from 1 species